UCAGAACGACACAGCAAAACUGCAGAAACAUUCUCGGAGGAGGCAGGCUUCUGGCUUCCUGGAAACUGAAGGUUUAUAUCCGUAAGACUGGGGCAUAUAGAGAGGGUUCUUCCUGUUCAGGCAGGGCACACUAUCCCUCCUUCAGGUGGAAACACCAUCUGUUCUCCUAGUCCUGGAACUGCAGUGAUGCUGUGGAAGCUCGAGCCCUUGCAGGACAGCGCCCCGCUGCACUGUGGAGAUCUCGAUGUCCCUUGUGACCAUGAAGAUCAAAUGGACUCUGAUUCUGAAAACUAAUCAACCCAGCUGGGAGCUAACCUUAAUAUCUGAACUGAAAAUUUCAAAGGAUCGACUGAAAAGGGGCCGCCAGCAGAGAAACACAGCAGACAAAAAACGUCAGACAGCGUGUGAGCUUGUGUCUAAAGAAGCCAUCGCCUUCCAAUUCUGAGUCAAGAAUCUCAUGAAGUGAUUCUGCAGGUUAAUGAGAAACGAAAACCUUGAAACAAACAAAAACCAAACCAUUUCACUGGUGAGGACCUCAGUGUCACAGGUGUAUGAAGAGAUGCUCCGUACUGCUUAUCACCAGGAAAAAGCAAACCAAAGCUACAGUGAGAUUUCUCGUCAUUCUCCCGAGGAACAAUGUAGUCACUGCAAAACCCCAAAUCACAAACCCACAGAAGGUCUCACUGUUUGGUGUGUGUAUUAAAGAUGCUGUUAUGAGCAAGAUAACUGCUCACCCUGUGAAGUUUCUCCCCUUUUGGGCAAUCUGAAUCAUGGAGUUGUCCCUGUCUGGUGUUGAAGCACACUGGGUUUGCCACUCAGGAAGUUGAUCCAAACACAUUGCUGCCUGCCACACCCAGGACAAAGGGCCUCCAGUGGAGGUUUUGAGUUCCACCUGCAACUUUGGGGUUGUUUUUAACAUUUGUGAUAUUGUUAAUAGGACACCCAGGCUCUCUUGGCUGAUCCUCAAGAAAGAGAUGAGCUCUAGUUUGGAGACGUAUAUGAUUGGGGUGGUAAAGAGUGGGAAUGACCUGUCAUGUAGAGACCUGCCACAUGCUAAAUAUGUAGUCAAGUCCUUAGUGAAGCCUAGAAUACGGCGAGUGCUAAAAAUCCAUGUUAAUAUUUUUUAAAAAAAUAAGCUGUUUUAAUGACAUGCUUCUUUUAUCCUCAAGUUGGUGUUAUUGUUUGUUCCUGCUUUUGUGCAUUUUGUGGGUUUGGAGAAAUUUAUGAUGACAUAUGUUUGACUAUAUGACCGCAUGGCAUAGUUUCACUGUCUUAUGGCCCCUGACAACAAUUGAGAAUUUUACUCUCUCGUAUUUUUGCCUGUUCUAGAAUGUCAAAGAAUUGGAGUCAGACCUCGUGUACCCUUUCAGACUGUCUUCUCUCAGUUAGUCUUGUGCAUGUAGGUUUCCUGGGAGAGUAUUUCCUGGCUUGUGGUGGAAUUGCUUCUUCCCUUUAAUGCCAUCCAUUGUCUCCAUACUCCACAGUUUAUUUACUCUUACUUACUGGUCGAAGGAACGAAGCAGUUCGAAGUACGCACGUGUUUCUCGUGGAGAUGUAGCUUUCAGUUUCUUUGGGUAAACACCAAAAGUGUUGACACGUUUCUUGGAUGAGGGAAUGUUCUUAUAGAUCUCUUUACAGAACAAAGUGAUUUUUAAACUUGUUAAAAAUUGAACUAUUAACUCCUAACUAUCCUCUGCUGCUUUGAUCAGGGUUACUGAUUCAGAAACCCACUUGUUCAUUAAUUCAGCUGAUAUUUAUAAAGCUUCUCGUGAGAUAUUGAACAUGGAGUUAGGGAUAAAGAGAUACAGUGGCUGCCAACUCUGCCUCCAUGUGAGUCCAGAGCACAGACAAGGCAGCAAAGGAAUGACACACAAGGCCAACCCCACAGACAAACACACAGGAAUAGACAGGUAUGCUUAGAAAGUAGAGAAUAGUUCUACAUGGCGAGACUGCUUUAGGGAAAAAGGGGGGUUAAAACAGAGGCAAAGCAGUAAAAUGACUAUCUCGAUGCUCCCUCCAGUCCAUCCAACUCCAUCCUCCUGGAUAAUCAUGUACUGGUGGACAUGGGUAAUAAAUACUGACAGUGAGCCUGAAUUCAAACAAGAACAGAGUGAGGAAGGGAAACAAACUGAAAUAGUAAGAGAAACAUUUUGCAUAUAGAAUCCGUAGGAGUUAAUGACUAAGGAAACACAGUGGUAAAAUUAAAAACAUGGAAACAUUCUUGGAGUAAGCCUGGGAUAUGCACACGUAUCUGUGUGUGGAUAUACAGACUCAAACUUGGACACCUGUGCUUUGGUUUUAUCAUCAUUCUCUGCACCGAGGGGCAAUUGUGAUUACAUGAAUCUUGAUGGAGUGUCAGGAAGGUGACGUUCUGGAAGUUGGCGUGAUGCUGUCCAUCAGGCUGGUCAUGCUGGUCUCUGUGAGCUGCUGGAACAAACUCAGCACUCCAUGAGUAAUCUUCCUCUCCAGCUUCUCUUAGGCACCUCCCAUUAUUGACCUACUACUCUCCUUCUGAAGCUGCAGGCUGAGUCAAGUGUUUCUAUCCCUUGACACUCUCUGGAAACUGUUUCUCUUUUCUCGACUUCUCCAGAACGGAACCUGCUGAUUGCAUGGUCUGGUUGGGCUUGGUCUCCAUUCACAGCUCCUUUCAGAGCUGACUUGGGACUCAUCUCCACAAAGGUGCUGAUUACUUAACGAAGUCUUCAAACCCCAACAGUUAGAGGAAGCUUCAAAUGCAAAGUUGUUUACAGAUCAAACCUUUUUUGAAUCUGAACUCUGAAUGUAAGAAAUACAUUUGCAUAAAUCCAUGAAAGCUAAAGGUAAGUAAGCAAAGGUUCCAUUAACCCUCCAGCCUCCUGUCUGAUACCAGUGCACUGGAGCAUCUGGAAGCCAGGCAAUGGAGUCCCGGGGGCCUUCUCACCUUGGGCUCAUCCAUGCUGGGGUGAGUAGACAACUCUCUGGGUGACACCACUGCAUUUACUUCUCACAAGCUCCUGGCACCCAAGCUGUUGCCCUAUCUGGUAUCCCUAACUGGUAUUCAUGCCCCAGUGUAACAUUGAAAAGAGAGCCCACGGUGGCGAUUAGAUGAAGAUUCAGAGUCCUUGUUUCUCCACGGCUCAUGAAGAAGCAGAGCCACUGCCGUGUAGUUUUGAAUGACCCUUCACUGACACUGCUAGUCACAUGGGAACCACUCUAGAGGCAGAUGGAGAUGAAGACUGAGUGGGAAGUAGAAAUCGUCCCCAGAGCAUCCUUCUCUGGCAAUUAAUUCCCAGUUCAGAGAGGGCACUGAGGCACAGUUCUCUCAUGUACCAUGAUUUCAGCCGGUCCAUGUAGGGGCUUUGUGUAGGUGACUUCAGAUGGCAUCUGUCUUAUAUAACAGUCUUAAGUAUACUUAAGGCAGUUAUGGUUUCUGACCCUCCAAUCCUGAUCUAUAAUUUAAUGAAUCUCUGCUGCUCUAGACCAUGUCUAGUAUGGUGGCUGACUUCACUGCAUCCUAGUUCUUGGGAAAGUUUUCACCUUGUCCCAAAAGCCUCCUCUGAGAAGUGUCCCAGAACUCCCUCCAGAAAUUCCCGAGGGAGGAUCUGGCUAUGUAACCCCCCUCUUUUCUAAGGACUGGAGAUAGCAUGAUAACUACAUCACAUAGGUCAUUUGUGAAGCUCUCAUGAGGUGAUGGGCAUGAAAGCUGAAACUGAGAGAUCUGGAUAGGUAUCACUGCCAAAGUAAUAACAGUGUGAGCCUUUUUAGUAGAAUCUGUGUAAGUCUGUCAUUUCUUUUGUGGUUACCUUUAGUCACCAGCACCCCUUGGUUACAAACCGAGGCAGCCUGGGCUCAUUUCUGGCAUCAGCGCAGAUAUACUAAUCUGGGUAGGAAAUAAAACUGCUCCUCAGAUGUCUCCUGAAAGGAUGGCCCCAGGCAUGGACAGGGUCAAGCAACCACUGGGAAACCACUGUAGUCAUGGGAGGCUCUUGAUCUAUUGGCAGAUUCCCAGCUGUACAAUCUGGGUUCUCCUGAAAACAUCUGUCCCUAGAGUCUCCUCAGGUCCCCUCUCUGCAGUUGACUGGAGAACAGGGCUGGUGAUGGAAGAAAGUUCAAUAGAAGGAGCCCUCUGGGCUGAGUGUGGUUCAGUGGACUAUUGGGCUCUUAACCCAGCUUCUCCAGCAUUCUUGUGGUCUACUGAUCCUUGAAUGACAGAAGGGUAGAAAGUUCUUUCUUCUAAGAAUCUACUUUUCUGGUUGUUCUCUGCUGCAGUGUCCUCAAACUCACACAGCUAGUUCAAAGGUGAAGCUUUCGGAUCCUCCUUCCACUUCUAUUUGAAUACUUCAUCCUCUGGGGUGCUCAGAGUUAGUGGUGGUGCCCUCAUUUUCUGACCAUAUGAAGAGGGAAACCUGUCACUCAAAGAUUUAGCAUUAUGUGUUUUUCUUUCUCAAGAUAUUCUGAUCCCUGCAAGGAUAAGGAGCCGUCAACUCUUGCACCUUCCAGUGUCUACUGAGAGCUGUAUUGGAUGAAGGACUCAGCUCAGGCUUUCCCGGUCUCUCGGAGCACUGGCUAGUCUGUGUGGUACUACUGAGCAGUGCUUAUCCCAGUUUCAGGUGUGUUAUCAAAUUCUACCUGAAAUACCCAAUCUGCACUCUCAAAUGCAGGGAUGUGACUGAACAGCACACUCUUUUACCUUUCCCCCAUUCUUAGCAAGGCAUGGCACAUCUGAGAUGCCCUAUAAGUGUGACUCAGUGAUUUAUACAGUUCUCUCCUCACAGAAGGAAGAAACCCAAAGACUUUAAGUGACCAUUAUGAGGUUAGCGAAUCCUAAAAACCAGACAGAUGCCCUGCUUUUCUGAUAAUGAUUCUCCCAGAAGAGAAUGCAGUAAGAGCACUAACCAUUGGAGGUUGUGGUAAGGGUUCUCCUCUAUCUUAGUGAUUAGAAAAGAUGGUCUUUUCCAUCAUGAGUUCUGACAUCUCUCUAGCCUAGCUACAAUGCUAUAUAUACUUGGCCUGAUCACUAAGCCAAAAUCAGAACCUCUUGGCAGAUAUGAAAUGUUGUUCAUUGUUCUGAUGGGAUCAUAAAUGGACUGAGCUAUUAACUCCUCAUUUCUACAGAGUGGGGCUUGGGACUAACAUGAGCCCUCAUGGUGGCUGUGGUAGGCAGAAGAUAGCAGGAAUAUUGAUCUUAGCAUGCCUUGAUGAAUAAUCAAUGCCACCACAGUUCAAGAAUGUGUGGCAUGAAAUAGGAUGUGCAAGGCAACCCCUUCAGACAUACUAUACCAAGUCUGUAUGUCUGCAAACACACACACACACACACACACACACACACACACACACACACACACACACACACACACACAAUUUGCUCCUCCAAACAGCUCCAUCCUUCAGAACAACUUUGUUAUGGAGACCAUAGCAAAUUUCCUGUUGUCUCUAUCAGGGCACAGGCUAUGAGAUAGCCUCUCCCGCUUUCUUAGCAAAAAAUCCAUCCUUACUGUCUACUCUCUGUUCAUCAGAGUCACUGUAUGGAGCACCUCUUGCAAUCCAGUCGCAUAUCCCACAGGGUUACAAAACCAAAGAGGUUCUAGUAUGAGACCACUAAGAGCUCAAAUUCCAGGUUUUUUAGUUCUUAGUUGUAUGCCUUGAGGUAGAUCAUUUAUUUAGGCUCUACUAAUUAUCUUCCUCCUCCUUAAAUUGAAAAUUGAACAAAAGCAUGUAUGGUAUUUAUACAGAGCACUGUUUCUCAACCUUCCUAAUGCUGAGAAACUUUAAUACAGUUCCUCAGGUUGUGGUGACUCCCCAACCAUAAAAUUAUUACAUUGCUACUUUGUAAUUUCACAUCUGUUAUGAAACAUAUUGUAAAUAUCUGAUAUGCAGGAUAUCUGAUAUGUGAUCCCAUGGGGGUCACGACCCACAGAUUGAGAACCACUGAUUAUAAAAUGUAGCUCUCACUCCACAAGGAAUAAAGGAUACUUUAUUCUCAGCCACAUAUGAAUGACUAUGGCCUAGAAACAUGGAUUUAGGCUUUCCUACCAUGUUUCACUACAGAGUGGUUACACAAACAUUUUAUAGUCACAGAACAAAAGAAAACCACAAAUCAGUAGAUUCAUCAAACGCAUUGGAGGGAACAUUAGGUCACAGGAAAGUGAAGAAACCUCUGCUUCAGGCUUAAGAGGCUAUCUGAUGCCAUUCUUAGCCUCUGGAUUGGGGGGUGGUGGCUAAUGGUUUGUUAAGUUCCAAAGCUUUUGCCUGAUAGUAGAAAGGCUGUUAAACCAGACAGAUAUAGGUGAUAAGUGGCAGUAAGGAGACUAUGAAGACCACCCAAGACAAUUGGGGCUCUGGAGUUGUAACUGUCCAGGUUUUCACAAUCAUGAAGUUCAAACCAGUUAUUCAACCUGCAGAGUCUUUUUGAAGGAAUUUUAGUUCCUAGUAUAAACAUUUACCAAUUGACAAGGACAGGUUGAUCAUUCAAUAUUGUAGUCAAUAUGAUUAUCAUGGCCAUUGUUAAGAUCUCUGUCCAGAAUUUGCCAUCACUAUCUUCCACACAUUUAGAAAUCACAUUCAAACUCCUCCUUGAAAAAUCUGAUACAAUGUGCCAGGGACAUGCUGUCCUCCGUGAAACAGAACAGCCAACCAGUGAACCAGUAUUUCCUCUUCCUGAACACUUCCUGGUGAUGGCGAAGUUAGAAAUUCCUCCUAGCUAAAUCUACAAUCUGGGAAAUUCUAGAGACACAAAAUAGGUAGCAUAAUAAAGUAGCAACCAUGAUGUGGAAGCCUUGUAUGGACCCCAUUUUAAGCUUAAGAAGUCCCUCAGAUUCCUUUUUCUUUUUAUGAGAAAGUCAAGAAAUUUAAAUGUAAAUCAAAUAUUAGUUGACUUGUGUGGUAGUUUGAAUGUAAAUGGUCCCCAUAAGCUCACAGGGAGUGACACUAUUAGGAGGUGUGGCUUCAUUGGAGUGGAUGUGGCCUUAUUAGAGGAAGUGUGUCACUGUAGGGGUGGGCUUUGAGGUUUCCUAUGCUCAGGUACUGCCCAGUGUCUCAGUUGUCUUCCUGUUGCCUGCAAAAUGUAGGACUCUCAGUUACCACUCCAGCACCAUGUCUGCCCACACACUGCCAUGCUCCCCACAAUGAGGAUAAUAGAUUAAACCUCUGAAUUGUAAGCCAUCUCAAUUAAAUGUUUUUCUUUAUGAGUUGCCAUGGUCAUGGUGUCCCUUUACAGGAAUAAAAACCCUAACUGAGACAAUUUAUUGUGAUUUUUGCUAGAUAUAAUUUUAAGUUUGAAGUUAAAGAUUGACUAAAAAUAUUUGUUCAUUAAAAAAAUUAAGGAUAGUGUAUGUCCUGGGAUGAUCCAUGAGAGCAGCUACAAUGCAUUAUGCAUAUGUAUGAAAUUAUCAAAGACACUUAAUAAAGUUACAUAAAAUAUUUAAGGAA